GUUUUAAAAAUUAGAGUGUUUGGCACUUGUAAUUUUCUGCUGUCGUACCAACUUCUGGGAAAAGCGCUGAUUUUAGCAGAACUAACGUGAGGAGGCCUGAGGUUGGCGCUGAAUGUGAAUGUACCCAUUAACCAGGAUCACCUUAGCAAGUCCUAAUGUUCGUUUGAAACCUUUAUGUCUCUUUGCUCAAACAGACAAUGAUGUACCAAUUUUCCUUAAAUGAAAUUAAAUGAUGGCCGGCCAGUUCUCACAGAGCAGCUAUUAUAAAUUUUAUUGUAAGAGCACUAAAGAGAAAGCAUAUGUUGCGGUUUGAGACCGAAGCCAACAGGGUGGAGACUAAACGAGCAAAGCACUUUUAGUCACGAAUACGUCAUUUAAAAAGCGGGACAUCCCCACUGUGCUGCAGAAGCGGCAGCGCAGCCCGGCAGAGGAAGCAGCUUGCAGCGCGGCGGCUCCGCCCCGCCGAAAGAGAAGGCUGAGCAGGGGCAGGAGCGGGGCGGGCGGGUCCGGCUCCCCCUGGCGGCCCCGCCGGGCAGUGCGCGUGCAGCGCCAUCAGCUCCGCGGCGCCAGGGCUCUGCCAGGGGUCGGCAAUACUCGAUUCGGAUUGGCUGCGCGUCCUGUGGUGCCUAACGGUCGCCAACCGCCACCUGUUACGGCCGUCUGCCACCACCUGUUAUCGCACUCCACCCGCCCUUUGGCGAGGUUCUCCGUGCUGUGGCGGCGAUUCACAGGUUAUGGCGGAGUUAUUUGAAGGUUGAUCUGGAUCGUAGGUUAUUUGGAAACACUAGAAGAUCUGGGAACUUACUGAGCUCUCAUUCCUGGGGAACUUAAACUGAGAUUUGAAUCUGAAAAUACUGUUCAAAAAACAUAUGCCUGGACUGCCAGUGGGAGAUUCAAAACCACACUUGACACUAUAGAUGCAAACAACAAGAGAGAGAACUUCAGACAUGCCUCCAAAGUUCAUGUUCGGGUGUAAAUAAAAAAGCCAUAAGAAUAAAUGCACACACCAUUCUGCAAUUUCAGGAAUCUCUGGAGAUGACAUAAACUCAAAUUUAAUGACGUGGAACCUGUUUCAACUGCUAUUUUGACAAGCUGCUGGCCUGCUAUAGCUUAUGCAAGAGUUCUUCAUCUUUCAUGGAGAGUGGAUUAAUUGGCAGCAGAUUUACGUGCCAAUUUUGCAUACUUUCCCAAGUGGAAGUUUCAGGAGAAAAAUUGGAGGAAUCCAUUCUUUGUCUCGCCUUCUUGGCAUCUGUUCUCUGUAAGCUGUAAUAAAGGUAACUUUGAUUCAGGUAUUGAUACUGUGACUAACAUUCUGUAGGGCUUUAUGCCUGUUCUUAGUCUAUAUUAGGGUAUUGAGCUUGUUCUUACUAGUUUGCCGUAUCACUUAGACAUCCCAGUCAAUUGUGGUUAAAUAAACACAUUAUAUUGUAAAACAAUUCAAGAGCAUGCACUUCUGUUUCAUAUAUAGUUUUCUUUAGUGACCCCUACAUAAUUCAUAUAAUCACUUGGAAAUGAAGAGCUAUAGUUGUGAUGUACAUACUCAGAAAAAUAAAAGCAGAACAAAAUUAUCCUACUGGAAUAUGUUUACUACAGAAAUUUUGGGUUCCAUUGUGACAAAGAAGUGCUUAUUCCCUAAUAUAAGCAUCAUCCCCUGCAGAGAGCUUUCCCUUUUGAACUUGUGGGAGUUGACUGAAGCUUUGUUCCAAGUCUCUCUGUUGUACUGACAUUCAGGUUGCCGACAGAAGAACCCUGCAGAUAGCUUUAGGGGAUUUCUGUAUCACUUCAGCUGCAACUGUGAUCAGGUUUUUAAAGUUUUCCUUGAAGAUGAGU